rnacentral:rRNA from 1 species
GACGAACGCUGGCGGCGUGCUUAACACAUGCAAGUCGAACGGAAAGGCCCUGCUUUUGUUGGUUGCUCGAUUGGCGAACGGGUGAGUAACACGUGAGUAACCUGCCCUUGACUUUGUGAUAACUUCAGGAAACUGCGGCUCAUACCGGAUAUGAUCUCCUGCUGCAUGGUGGGGGUUGGAAAGUUUCGGCGGUUGUGGAUGGACUCGCGGCUUAUCAGCUUGUUGGUGUGGUAGUGGCUUACCAAGGGUUUGACGGGUAGCCUGCCUGAGAGGGUGACCGGCGACAUGGGGACUGAGAGACGGCGCAGAAGCCAACGGGAGGCAGUAGGGGGGAAUAUGGCAGAAUGGGGGGAAGCCUGAUGCAGAAACGCCGCGUGCGGGAUGACGGGUUUCGGGGGGUAAACCGAUGUGGCAGGUGACGAAGAGGGAGUGACGGUAAUGGGUAAAGAAGCACCGGCUAACUACGUG